rnacentral:rRNA from 1 species
UACGGGGGGGGCAAGCGUUGUUCGGAAUUACUGGGCGUAAAGGGCUCGUAGGUGGCCAACUAAGUCAGACGUGAAAUCCCUCGGCUUAACCGGGGAACUGCGUCUGAUACUGGAUGGCUUGAGUUUGGGAGAGGGAGUGCGGAAUUCCAGGUGUAGCGGUGAAAUGCGUAGAUAUCGGAGGAACACCGGUGGCGAAGGCGGCAUCCUGGACCCAACACUGAACACUGAGGAGCGAA